rnacentral:rRNA from 1 species
GUAACGGCGAGUGAAGCGGCAACAGCUCAAAUUUGAAAUCUGGCCCCCUCGGGGUCCGAGUUGUAAUUUGUAGAGGGUGUUUCGGGCGCGAUGCCGGUCUAAGUUCCUUGGAACAGGACGUCGUAGAGGGUGAGAAUCCCGUAUGCGACCGGCGAUCAAGCCUGUGUGAAACCCCUUCGACGAGUCGAGUUGUUUGGGAAUGCAGCUCAAAAUGGGUGGUAAAUUUCAUCUAAAGCUAAAUAUUGGCCAGAGACCGAUAGCGGACAAGUAGAGUGAUCGAAAGAUGAAAAGCACUUUGGAAAGAGAGUCAAACAGUACGUGAAAUUGUUGAAAGGGAAGCGCUUGCAAUCAGACCGGUCCGGAGGUGAUCAGCCGCUGCUCGUCAGCGGUGCACUCGCCUGCGAUCCGGCCAGCAUCGGUUUGGGCGGUGGGAUAAAAGUCCCGGGAAUGUAGCUUCUUUCGGGGAGUCUUAUAGCCCGGCUCGCAAUGCCGCCCGCCUGGACCGAGGACCGCGCUUC